rnacentral:rRNA from 1 species
AUUGAACGCUAGCGGGAUGCCUUACACAUGCAAGUCGAACGGAGUGGCGAACGGGUGAGUAAUGUAUCGGAACGUGCCCAGUAGCGGGGGAUAACUACGCGAAAGCGUAGCUAAUACCGCAUACUAUUGGAGCGGCCGAUAUCGGAUGAGCUAGUUGGUGGGGUAACGGCUAACCAAGGCGACGAUCCGUAGCUGGUUGGAGAGGACGACCAGCCACACGGGGAAUGGGAAACGGCCCAGACGACGACGGGAGGCAGCAGGGGGGGAUAUUGGACAAUGGGGGAAACCCUGGACAAGGCAGCCCGCGUGUGCGAUGAAGGCCUUCGGGUUGUAAAGCACUUUAGGCAGGAAAGCGGUACCUGCAGAAUAAGCACCGGCUAAAUACGUGCCAGCAGCCGCGGUAAUUC